rnacentral:lncRNA from 1 species
AACUAUUACAUGAAAAGAAAAGAACUAAAAAGUCUUAUGAGAGCUCGACCGCAAGGUAAUUAAAGGUUGUACAAAAAUUAUUUCCACCAAGAAUUAAACUUGACUUCCUCCAAGCGAACCAUCCUAGCAUCUGCAAGCAAAAUGAAAAUCUAGAAGUAUGUGAUAGUUGAAGAAACAAAGACACAAAUAACAAUAUUAUACUCCAAAAAUAAAGGUAAAUAAAAUAAUACUAAACAUGAAAUUGAUAUAUAAAAAGUUAAAGAAUUAUAUUGAACAUAUAUCAGUCAAAUCAAUAUAUACAAAGCUUCUUUAAAUGUUGUGUAUUUUUUCAUAUCGUAAACCAAAGUCAUCAAAAUAGUUUGGAAAACAAAAAAAUAUAUUCAAAUAUGCAUGGUGGAAAACAAUAUUGUGUUGAUCAAAUGAAAAAUGAGAGUCAUAUAUAUAGACCAAAUUAAUCAAUAUCAUUCAAUUAGAUACUAAUUCUUUCCCUUUCUUUCUUAUUCUCCAAAGGAAUAUGCUAUAUUUUUCCUUUUAUGGUGUGCAACUAUUUCCUUUGUUAUAUCAUAAGGCAUUCAUAUUGUUAAUUUUUUUUUAGUUAUUUUAGUUUAUUGAAUUUAAGAUUUCCAAAUAUUUCCUAAACUAUUUAUAGAAAAGGUC